rnacentral:rRNA from 1 species
UGGGGAAUAUUGGACAAUGGGCGAAAGCCUGAUCCAGCCAUGCCGCGUGUGUGAAGAAGGUCUUCGGAUUGUAAAGCACUUUAAGUUGGGAGGAAGGGUUGUAGAUUAAUACUCUGCAAUUUUGACGUUACCGACAGAAUAAGCACCGGCUAACUCUGUGCCAGCAGCCGCGGUAAUACAGAGGGUGCAAGCGUUAAUCGGAAUUACUGGGCGUAAAGCGCGCGUAGGUGGUUAGUUAAGUUGGAUGUGAAAUCCCCGGGCUCAACCUGGGAACUGCAUUCAAAACUGACUGACUAGAGUAUGGUAGAGGGUGGUGGAAUUUCCUGUGUAGCGGUGAAAUGCGUAGAUAUAGGAAGGAACACCAGUGGCGAAGGCGACCGCCUGGACUGAUACUGACACUGAGGUGCGAAAGCGUGGGGAGCAAACA